AAUAAAUCGAAAACAUCAUUUCGUAUAAUGGCAGGAAUAGGGCCUGCGAGUUUCUACCAAGCUACCGUAAAUAGCUUGACUACGAAAAUAAUGGGUUUUUUA
rnacentral:ncRNA from 2 species